rnacentral:rRNA from 1 species
UACGAGAGGCCCAAACGUUAUUCGGAAUUACUGGGCUUAAAGAGUUCGUAGGCGGCAUGAGAAGUAGGGUGUGAAAGCCCUCGGCUUAACCGAGGAAUUGCGCUCUAAACUGUCGUGCUUGAGGAACCUAGAGGUGAGCAGAACAGAUGGUGGAGCGGUGAAAUGCGUUGAUAUCAUCUGGAAUACCGGAGGCGAAGGCGGCUCACUGGGAGUUUUCUGACGCUGAGGAACGAAAGCCAGGGUAGCGAACGGG